GAAACAGAUUAUUAAUCAUUCGCAACCCAAUGUGAACGUUACCAAACUGUUGCCUCGGCGGGGUCACGCCCCGGGUGCGUCGCAGCCCCGGAACCAGGCGCCCGCCGGAGGAACCAACCAAACUCUUUCUGUAGUCCCCUCGCGGACGUAUUUCUUACAGCUCUGAGCAAAAAUUCAAAAUGAAUCAAAACUUUCAACAACGGAUCUCUUGGUUCUGGCAUCGAUGAAGAACGCAGCGAAAUGCGAUAAGUAAUGUGAAUUGCAGAAUUCAGUGAAUCAUCGAAUCUUUGAACGCACAUUGCGCCCGCCAGUAUUCUGGCGGGCAUGCCUGUCCGAGCGUCAUUUCAACCCUCGAACCCCUCCGGGGGAUCGGCGUUGGGGAUCGGGACCCCUCACACGGGUGCCGGCCCCUAAAUACAGUGGCGGUCUCGCCGCAGCCUCUCCUGCGCAGUAGUUUGCACAACUCGCACCGGGAGCGCGGCGCGUCCACGUCCGUAAAACACCCAACUUUCUGAAAUGUUGACCUUCGGGAUCAAGGUAGGAAUACCCGCUGAACUUAAGCAUACUAAAAACGGGGGAGAAAAGAAA
rnacentral:rRNA from 1 species